rnacentral:rRNA from 2 species
AACGAACGCUGGCGGCAGGCUUAACACAUGCAAGUCGAGCGCCCCGCGAGGGGAGCGGCAGACGGGUGAGUAACGCGUGGGAAUCUACCUUUUGCUACGGAAUAACGCAGGGGAACUUGUGCUAAUACCGUAUGUGUCCUUCGAGAGAAAGAUUUAUCGGCAAGAGAUGAGCCCGCGUUGGAUUAGCUAGUUGGUGGGGUAAAGGCCUACCAAGGCGACGAUCCAUAGCUGGUCUGAGAGGAUGAUCAGCCACAUUGGGUCUGAGACACGGCCCAAACUCCUACGGGAGGCAGCAGUGGGGAAUAUUGGACAAUGGGCGCAAGCCUGAUCCAGCCAUGCCGCGUGAGUGAUGAAGGCCCUAGGGUUGUAAAGCUCUUUCACCGGAGAAGAUAAUGACGGUAUCCGGAGAAGAAGCCCCGGCUAACUUCGUGCCAGCAGCCGCGGUAA